ACAAGCGAACACUAGGACAAGAACCAUAUUUUUUCCCCCAAAUACUGCUGUCCCCAUUUGGUUUUCUGCAGGAUGAACUCUGUUUUGUAGUGUUAUCUUUCUCUUCUAACUUCUCCAGAGUUUCACAACAAGGAGAAGCUGCUGAGUGUCUGAAAGGGUUUGUUUUCACCCGGUCGCUGAACCACACAAAGCUUCUUGGUGUAGCUCCAGCUGGAGCAACCUCUCAGGCUGGAGGACACCAGAGGCACCGUACACAGGACAAGCCCCUGAAGACACCUCUCUGGGCUCUGAGCUGGGUGGGACUGAGCUGUCCCUGGACCCUGGCCAAGAAAGAAGGGAUCAGCAGCAGGGGAUGCUGUUGUCAGAGCUGCUACAGAUCCAGAGCAAGGGAGUAGGUUGCCAGUCACCUUCUAUCUGUCUAUAAUCAGCUAUGGAUCUGCCUGGCCAUACUGUCUUCAGAGAGACCUUCCUUGCAGCCAAGGCAGGACCUACCUGGGCUGGAGGAGGAGAAGGAAUACAUUUUAAUAGAGUCUGGUCUGGGAUGGACUAACUCAAUCCUCAGAUACAAGAAGAGUGAGUGACAGUGGCUGAAACUGAGGUGGUUUAAACCUGACUUCAUGGAUCUAAUUCUGGAAAGAGCUCUACAGCUUUAGUCUUACACUGCUUCCUCAUAGUAUUGUAUUUGUUUUUACAUGCAAUUGAGUACCAACAGGAGAAGAGAGAAAAAAUGCCAAAGGGAACAGUCUGUUUCUCUCUCUGUCAAAAAUGU